AAGAAAGAGAAUUUAGGUGUUUUAUUCGGUCGAUAGAUGGCAUUAAUAGAGUAAUAUUGAAUCGUGGCGACGUGGUGCGGGCGCCGGUUUUCACUCUCAGACUAAUAAGAAGGAGUGGCGUAGAAAUACGAUAUUAUUAAAGCUAAGCCAAGUACAUGAAAGCUCAUUGUUACAUGAUAAACUUAGGCCUUCCUUAGUAUAUAAGGGAAUAUCAUUAAGUUUAUGGCCUGUAGCGCAAUUUGUUCAUAUAGGAUGAUUUUGUGAUAUUUAGUUCGCGCAGGCUGUUAUAAAAAUCAGGAGGAAAUUGAUUAAAGGCUGAAGAGUAGAGGGAAACUGUAUAUUUCUAGUGUAGAACGACGAUGAAGCUGAUCGGCGAGCGAUUUUAAGCCUCUUUCCGUCGACAGUCUUUGAUAUAUAGUAUAGCUUUGGGGGAUAAAUAGCAAAUAAGUCUGUAUGUAUGUGUAUUAGUGUGCAUGUAUAUAUACAUGCAGAUCGCAUUAAGUUAUAUUUAGUCAGAGAUACGUUUUUUUCGAGACAGUCGCUAUGCGUUCGUCGCUGUUAGCAUCGAUUUUUUUCCUGUUUUGUUCCCCGAACAAAUGCGACGUCUCUUGCCGGAACAAUAGGAACGAGACGGUUGAUUGGUUCGCCGUCUACAAAUUACCUAAACGCGCUCACAGCUCAGACCGGAAGUUGAAGGAAGGAAAGGCGUUCGAUUAUUUGGACAGUGGAAGAACUUACUGGAGGAGGAAUGAGAGAUCCGUUAACGAUAGUCGACAACCUCUCUCCUACACCGUCGGGCAAAUAUACGAAAAUAAAAGCCUACAAUACAUCAUCUACAACGAUCAGCCACCGCCUUCAGCCGAAGGUCGCCCAGCUAUCGGCUGUGGACAUACUAAAGGCUUGGUAAUUUUUGAUGAGAAAACAGCUAUUUGGAUUGUGCAUAGUAUACCUCAUUUUCCGCCCGACCCUUCCCUUUCAACUAGAUACGCUUAUCCGAGAAGCGGAUGUCGGUUCGGUCAGAACUUAUUAUGUAUGAACGUCGACCGAAGCCAAUUACCGUCGGUAAUAGAACAGUUGUGGUACAAUGAAGCGAAUGUAUACGCUUCUAACAUUAAGCCAAACUAUUUAGACAUUAAAUAUUUAUACGAAGUCGUUCAUAACAAAUAUCCAGCUUAUCGUUCUUCCUGCGAACGCGUCGCCGACAUUUCCGGCUUUAAGACAUUCGCUAAAUCUAAAUGUUUCGGUGAUGAUUUAUACUCUGGUCUAGUAGCGUCAACACUCACUUCCGAUCUACUUGUAAACACCUGGCAAUUGGAAAAAAAGAGCGACGUUUUAGAAUCAAAUUGCAGCGCAAAGUAUUCGGUGAAGAAUGUGAAGGGUCUAAAGGUCAACAACGACAAUUUUAAUAAUACAUCCGAUCAUUCCAAGUGGGCGGUGAACGAUGAUGAUUCGAGACAGAGUACCGAAUAUUGGACAUGUAUUGGUGAUAUAAAUAGGGACAAAUCUCAAUUCAGAAGGGGAGGAGGGACGGUAUGUAGGAGAUCAUACGCCCUUCAUAAAGCAUACCGUCAAUCGAUAAAGCGCAUAGAAAAAUGUACCGAGAAAACAGGCACAAAGAAGCGAGUGUAUUGUGCGAACAAUAACACAACAUAACUAAAAUUUUAUGUUAUAUCGUAUAAUAUAUAUGCCAAAUAUAUAUAUAUAUAUAUAUAUGUGGGAUAUAUACAUAAGCUUUUGUAGACAAUUAUAUCUUUUCAGAAAAUAUACAUAUAUAUAUAUGUGUGUGUAUUAUGUAUGUAUAUAUAUAAAUAUAC
rnacentral:misc_RNA from 1 species